UUUCCCCAUCAGUAUGCCUCUAGGUACAAUUUAAUUGUAUAACUUAACGUCUUCCGACAUUGAUUUGAUAUCGGGUUCGGAAUCCUAUGCUCCAUAGUAACCGUGGCGUCAAGAAGAAGAACAAUGACCAUUUCCCGUUUUUGUUAGUGAAGGUUAAAAUUUAGGGCACCGAUCAUAUGAAAAUGGCAGGAACACGCGAGCAAGCCAAACAGUAUCUUGCCGCCCACAGAAUACCUCAGAUGUUCGAGAGUCUGUUGAGCUGUCUAAUGCUGGAGAGACCAGAUGAUCCAGUUUCAUAUAUAGAAAGAAAGAUGUCAGAAAUCAAACAAAUCGGACUAGGAAAUGUAAACUGGGAGACCUUUGUGUUUCACAUGCACCCCUACAGGGAUCCCCUUAGGAGAACAAUGGUUCAUGAUGAUAGCAAGUAUGACAAAGAAAGACAGCUUGAGGAAGAAGCCAGACAGGAUAAAGAAAGAGAACAGUCACAGAGUCAAGCCAGCUACAAACCAGAAGUCUUCCAACUCACAGAGACAUAAUGCUAAUUCAUUAAUAGGAACAUUUUCCAUUGGUGCAUGGAAGAAGUUUGUAUUGUUUUUGGCAAAUUGCCCCAUGAAUGGGAUGAAUGUGAAGUUCUUUAUCUUAUUAGAAGUAUUUGAUGCUGCAUAUUUUGUUUUAAGUAUGUACCUAUAUUAUGAUAAUCAGUGCAGAUCUGAUGUAUUUUAACUGCCGGAUAUAAAUGUAAGAUUUUGCAGUUCUCAUUAUAACAGAAAUAUGAUUUACAGAGAUGUAAAAUACUUGUAAAGAUUAUAGAUAUGAUGCAUUAUUUGCCAGUCCUGACACAGAUAUUAAAAGUGUGUGCAUUUUAAUGCGCCAUGUAUUAUAUUACAUUGUAAGUUUAAAAUCUAAUGUUUCAUAAUUUACUUUUCAGAUUCUCUCUCUAUGUUUCAGUGCAUGAUGAUGUGUGCAUUAAUUUAAUGCAUCUGUUCCCUUUAUGAUAGUAUACUACUACUAUCAUUUUCAAGUUUCCUAGUCUUUUCUUUACUGUAUACUGUUAUUUCAUUCUGUUCUGUAAAAAACCACCAAUAUAAAUGUAUCUACCUAUAUAUAUAUCUGUUGUAGUACAGUAUUUUAUUAUUUUUUUGUUACUUUUAUUGUUUAGUAUUAUGUGUUUUUAAGACCACCUGUGAUAAGGUUUUGACAAUGAUAUGUUUUCAAGAAAAUCACCAGCAUAAAGGCAGUGUAUGAAUACUCUGCCAAGAAAGGAAAUAUGAAAUGGAUGUAGAGGCUUGUAAUUUGAUGACAGGUCUGAAUAUUAUUGGGUUAACUUUAUAUCUUAGGUGUCAUCAGGCUGUGGUGCAAAGUUUUGUUGUUUUUUGUUGUUUUUUUUAAAGUGAUACAAUUUGUUGAAGUUUGAAUGUUAAAAUCUGUAAAUCUAUGUCUCUAUGUUCCAUCUGACAAUUUCCAUGUGUUUCAGUAAGAACAGGAGUUACACCACACGCUUAAUGAAGUAAAAAUGUUGUGUGAACAUCACUGGAAUGUGUGAAAUUAAAGUGUAUUUUCCCCAUACAA